AGAAAAAAAAAGCCGGGAAUUGCCCGGGAAGAAUAAUGUUUUCCCCAUUGCAAUGGCAAACGGAAAUGGAACUACGGAGGAGAAAAAAGCCUGGUCUGCCGGUUCUCAUGGGCGCUGGGAUUCGGAUUAGUUUCCAGUUAAAGUGAGAUAUAAAGGAAUGACUGGCGGAUUCAAAGGCUAAUAAGAGAUGAAUGCUGAGCAAAAAACUCUUAAGCUCGUUCCCAACGAUUCCACGACGGCAAGAAUGCUUUGUUCAGCAGCAGCCAGCUUAUUUUGUAGCUGUUUGGCCGGUUAUUUGAGCUGGGCCAUAGUGCUUAGUGAAUGCCCUUUAACAGCCUUCUGGCAAAUCGGAUGCCAUGACGUUAGUUGAAAUUCCUGGACUCCGGCCUGGAUGAUGCACAUCAGCGUUGGCAAAUUGUCGCUUUGCCUCUACCUUGGGCCGAAAUCUCGCUCUCCCGAUGGUAACCGGUUAGGAAGGUGGAACUGCCACCUACCUCCGCACUGCUGCUGCAGGAUUGGAUGCACCGUCGAGGGGAACCAGCACUAUCAAUUUAAAAAGGACCUAUUUUUGUGGUAAUAUCAUAAACUUUUAUUAAUUCAAGGAUAUCGAAUAAAAAU